GAGAUCUCCCUGAUGGAUGUAACGAAAACAAAUGCACUUGACUUCCACUGCCUGCCUGGCGUGUCACGUGGGUUCAAUGAAGAUAUAGUAGAAUAUUGCCACUUUUCUUUCACUUUGAUCCUCUUCAUAAUGAAACUAUUGUGUGUUUAUGAUAUGUUCUGUUGGACUGGGGCUUUGAACUGAUGAAACAGGAAAGCCAUAACAAGCACCAGGGCUGACUUGGUAUGUUGACUCAGUUCCCACAUAAUGAUGGCAUAUAUAUGCAUGCACAUUAUAAUGUUGUGACACACAGAAGAAAAAUGUGUUACCCUGUCUCAAUUUCCUGUUUUAACGCAAGUCCAUACAACAUCCCAAUCUUUCUCAGGCUCUCCAAGCACCCCUGACUUCACUGUUUCGUAAGGGACAAUUCACAGACUACUUCCCCGCAGCCUGAACUUACCUAGAGAUACUUCUUUCACUCUCAGUUCCAUUCAGAGAUAGCAGCAUUGUGGUCGUUCGGUAACUUGAUUGAAACAAGGCACUCAACUGUGACUUAUUGUCAUAAUCAUCCAAAGAGGCCCACCAAGCAUUGUUCUUGCUGGAAAGGCACAAAAGGAAUAGAAACAUGCCCUUCAUUUGGAAGGACAUAUUUUUAUAUGCCUCAGAACGACGGACGCCCAGAAACAUCUCUGAGGUAUGAGGCUCCUAUAUUUGAUGGUAUUUAUAUCAUCCAGCAUUCAUUUAUGUGACCAAGGACCUAGUGUACUUGCAACUUCCUGCUGUGCAGGUCAUUUCAGUAUGAUAUUAUUUUGCACAAUGAACUAGCCUGAUAUCAGGUGGAAUAGAAAGAUGGCCUAGGAUAACUGACCUCUGCUUAAAAAAUGAGCUGACCUGUGAGGGUCACAAUAUCCUUUCCAUAAAUUCCCUUUUGCUUUAGCUAACCUGGGUCAGAUUCUGUUAUUUACAGAAACUCUAGGUGAUUCUAAACUAGAAACCCUAGGUAUUCUAAAAUUUUACCAUGAACGUGGUUGCAGGCAACAGAUAUUUCAGAAAACUGAGUCAUUUGGCAUUGUUUACCUGGCUGUAAUGAGGCAAGAGGUGGUGAAACUCUCAUUCAUAUUCCAAGAUGGGAAACUAGCAUCAGACAACAGAGAAUUACAUUACCGCCUCUGGUUAUUAGGAUCUAGAAACUUCUGAGGUUCUAGAAAGCUUUAGGGCUGGGAUCAGCAAACUAUACUCCACCUGUAGUGUUGCCUGUUUUUGUAAAUAAAUCUUUUUGGGGGACA